GACGAACGCUGGCGGCGUGCUUAACACAUGCAAGUCGAACGGUAAGGCCCUUCGGGGUACACGAGUGGCGAACGGGUGAGUAACACGUGGGUGAUCUGCCCUGCACUUCGGGAUAAGCCUGGGAAACUGGGUCUAAUACCGGAUAGGACCACUGCCUGCAUGGGUGGGGGUGGAAAGCUUUUGCGGUGUGGGAUGGGCCCGCGGCCUAUCAGCUUGUUGGUGGGGUGAUGGCCUACCAAGGCGACGACGGGUAGCCGGCCUGAGAGGGUGACCGGCCACACUGGGACUGAGAUACGGCCCAGACUCCUACGGGAGGCAGCAGUGGUGAAUAUUGCACAAUGGGCGCAAGCCUGAUGCAGCGACGCCGCGUGAGGGAUGACGGCCUUCGGGUUGUAAACCUCUUUCAGCACCGACGAAGCGCAAGUGACGGUAGGUGCAGAAGAAGGACCGGCCAACUACGUGCCAGCCGCCGCAGUAA
rnacentral:rRNA from 1 species